rnacentral:rRNA from 1 species
UGAGGAAUAUUGGACAAUGGGCGAAAGCCUGAUCCAGCAAUGCCGCGUGUGUGAAGAAGGCCUUCGGGUUGUAAAGCACUUUCAGUAGGGAAGAAGGAUUUAUGGCUAAUACCCAUUGAUAUUGACAUUACCUACAGAAGAAGCACCGGCUAACUCUGUGCCAGCAGCCGCGGUAAUACAGAGGGUGCAAGCGUUAAUCGGAAUUACUGGGCGUAAAGCGUACGUAGGCGGUUAUUUAAGUCGGAUGUGAAAUCCCCGGGCUCAACCUGGGAAUUGCAUCCGAUACUGAAUAACUAGAGUAUGGUAGAGGAAAGUGGAAUUUCCGGUGUAGCGGUGAAAUGCGUAGAUAUCGGAAGGAACACCAGUGGCGAAGGCGGCUUUCUGGACCAAUACUGACGCUGAGGUACGAAAGCGUGGGGAGCAAACAGG